rnacentral:rRNA from 1 species
CCUACGGGUGGCAGCAGUGGGGAAUAUUGGACAAUGGGGGGAACCCUUGAUCCAGCCAUGCCGCGUGUGUGAAGAAGGCCCUCGGGUUGUAAAGCACUUUCAGUGAGGAAGAACGCCUGGUAGUUAAUACCCAUCAGGAAAGACAUCACUCACAGAAGAAGCACCGGCUAACUCCGUGCCAGCAGCCGCGGUAAUACGGAGGGUGCGAGCGUUAAUCGGAAUUACUGGGCGUAAAGCGCGCGUAGGUGGCUUGAUAAGCCGGUUGUGAAAGCCCCGGGCUCAACCUGGGAACGGCAUCCGGAACUGUCAAGCUAGAGUGCAGGAGAGGAAGGUAGAAUUCCCGGUGUAGCGGUGAAAUGCGUAGAGAUCGGGAGGAAUACCAGUGGCGAAGGCGGCCUUCUGGACUGACACUGACACUGAGGUGCGAAAGCGUGGGUAGCAAACAGGAUUAGAUACCCUUGUAGUC